GAUGAACGCUGGCGGCGUGCCUAAUACAUGCAAGUCGAGCGAACGGACGAGAGGCUUGCUUCUCUGAUGUUAGCGGCGGACGGGUGAGUAACACGUGGAUAACCUACCUAUAAGACUGGGAUAACUUCGGGAAACCGGAGCUAAUACCGGAUAAUAUUUUGAACCGCAUGGUUCAAAAGUGAAAGACGGUCUUGCUGUCACUUAUAGAUGGAUCCGCGCUGCAUUAGCUAGUUGGUAAGGUAACGGCUUACCAAGGCAACGAUGCAUAGCCGACCUGAGAGGGUGAUCGGCCACACUGGAACUGAGACACGGUCCAGACUCCUACGGGAGGCAGCAGUAGGGAAUCUUCCGCAAUGGGCGAAAGCCUGACGGAGCAACGCCGCGUGAGUGAUGAAGGUCUUCGGAUCGUAAAACUCUGUUAUUAGGGAAGAACAUAUGUGUAAGUAACUGUGCACAUCUUGACGGUACCCAAUCAGAAAGCCACGGCUAACUACGUG
rnacentral:rRNA from 1 species